CACGUAGGGCGCAAGCGUUGUCCGGAAUUAUUGGGCGUAAAGAGCUCGUAGGCGGACUGUCACGUCUGCUGUGAAAAGCUAGGGCUUAACCCUGGCCUUGCAGUGGAUACGGGCAGACUAGAGGUAGGUAGGGGAGAAUGGAAUUCCCGGUGUAGCGGUGAAAUGCGCAGAUAUCGGGAGGAACACCGGUGGCGAAGGCGGUUCUCUGGGCCUUACCUGACACUGAGGCACGAAAGCUAGGGGAGCAAACAGG
rnacentral:rRNA from 1 species